rnacentral:rRNA from 1 species
UACGUGAGGGUGCAAGCGUUUAAUCGGAAUUACUGGGCGUAAAGCGUGCGCAGGCGGUUAUGUAAGACAGAUGUGAAAUGCCCGGCUUAACCUGGGAACUGCAUUUGUGACUGCAUGGCUAGAGUUUGGCAGAGGGGGGUAGAAUUCCACGUGUAGCAGUGAAAUGCGUAGAUAUGUGGAGGAACACCGAUGGCGAAGGCAGCCCCCUGGGUCAAGACUGACGCUCAUGCACGAAAGCGUGGGGAGCAAACGAGGAU